UACGUAGGGUGCAAGCGUUGUCCGGAAUUAUUGGGCGUAAAGAGCUCGUAGGCGGUUUGUCGCGUCUGCUGUGAAAACCCGAGGCUCAACCUCGCGCCUGCAGUGGGUACGGGCAGACUAGAGUGCGGUAGGGGAGAUUGGAAUUCCUGGUGUAGCGGUGGAAUGCGCAGAUAUCAGGAGGAACACCGAUGGCGAAGGCAGAUCUCUGGGCCGUAACUGACGCUGAGGAGCGAAAGCAUGGGGGAGCGAACAGG
rnacentral:rRNA from 1 species